rnacentral:rRNA from 1 species
UACGGAGGAUGCAAGCGUUAUCCGGAAUGAUUGGGCGUAAAGCGUCCGCAGGUGGCUGUGUAAGUCUGCUGUCAAAGAGCAAAGCUCAACUUUGUAAAGGCAGUGGAAACUACACGGCUAGAGUGCGUUCGGGGCAGAGGGAAUUCCUGGUGUAGCGGUGAAAUGCGUAGAGAUCAGGAAGAACACCGGUGGCGAAGGCGCUCUGCUAGGCCGCAACUGACACUGAGGGACGAAAGCUAGGGGAGCGAAAUGGG